rnacentral:misc_RNA from 1 species
UUUCCGUAGGUGAACCUGCGGAAGGAUCAUUAGAGAUUGGCCUCACGGCCGUUUUCAUCCACACACACACACCGUGAACCGUUUGACCUCCGGGUCUUACAACCUAUAACAAACAUCAGUGUAAAGAACGUCUUGUUAUCUUAACAAAAACAAAACUUUCAACAACGGAUCUCUUGUCUCUCGCAUCGAUGAAGAACGCAGC